rnacentral:rRNA from 1 species
AAUUGUUCGCAAUGGGCGCAAGCCUGACGACGCAACGCCGCGUGGAGGAUGAAGACCUUCGGGUCGUAAACUCCUUUCGACCGAGAUGAAAAACCAUCGACCUAAUACGUCGGUGGACUGACAGUAUCGAGGGAAGAAGCCCCGGCUAACUCUGUGCCAGCAGCCGCGGUAAUACAGAGGGUGCGAGCGUUGUCCGGAAUCACUGGGCGUAAAGGGCGCGUAGGCGGCUUUUCAAGCGUGCGGUGAAAGCUCGGGGCUCAACCCCGAGUCGGCCGUGCGAACUGGAGAGCUGGAGCACGGUAGAGGCACAUGGAAUUCCGGGUGUAGCGGUGGAAUGCGUAGAGAUCCGGAGGAACACCGGUGGCGAAGGCGGUGUGCUGGGCCGUUGCUGACGCUGAUGCGCGACAGCGUGGGGAGCAAAC